rnacentral:rRNA from 1 species
GACGAACGCUGGCGGCGUGCCUAAUACAUGCAAGUCGAACGCAGUGGGGACGGGUGAGUAACACGUGGGUAACCUCCCAUCAGAGGGGAUAACACUUGGAAACAGGUGCUAAACCGAUACUGAUUGAUGGACCCGCGGUGCAUUAGCUAGUGGGGGAGGUAACGGCUCACCAAGGCCACGAUGCAUAGCGGACCGGAGAGGGUGAUCGGCCACACUGGGACUGAGCCACGGCCCAGACCCGACCGGGAGGCAGCAGUAGGGAAUCUUCGGCAAUGGAAGAAAGUCUGGCCGAGCAAAGCCGCGUGAGUGAAGAAGGUUUUCGGAUCGUAGAACUAUGUUGUUAGAGAAGCGGUAUCUAACGAGAAAGCAACGGCUAACUACGUGCCAGCAGCCGCGGUAAUAC